UACGAAGGGGGCUAGCGUUGCUCGGAAUGACUGGGCGUAAAGGGCGCGUAGGCGGUUUGUCCAGUCAGAUGUGAAAUUCCUGGGCUCAACCUGGGGGCUGCAUUUGAUACGUGCGGACUUGAGUGAGGAAGAGGGUCGUGGAAUUCCCAGUGUAGAGGUGAAACUCGUAGAUAUUGGGAAGAACACCGGUGGCGAAGGCGGCGACCUGGUCCUUGACUGACGCUGAGGCGCGAAAGCGUGGGGAGCAAACAGG
rnacentral:rRNA from 1 species